UACGUAGGGGCAAGCGUUGUCCGGAUUUACUGGGCGUAAAGAGCGUGUAGGCGGCCAGGCAGGUCUGUUGUGAAACUGGAGGCUCAACUUCCAGACGUCGACAGAAACCGCUUGGCUAGAGUCCGGAAGAGGAGAGUGGAAUUCCUGGUGUAGCGGUGAAAUGCGUAGAUAUCAGGAGGAAUACCGAUGGCGAAGGCAGGUCUCUGGGCUGACACUGACGCUCAUGCACGAAAGCGUGGGGAGCAAACAGG
rnacentral:rRNA from 1 species